UACGGGGGGAGCAAGCGUUGUUCGGAUUUACUGGGCGUAAAGGGCGCGUAGGCGGCCAGCACAAGUCAGUUGUGAAAUCUCCGAGCUUAACUCGGAAAGGUCAACUGAUACUGUGCGGCUAGAGUGCGGAAGGGGCAACUGGAAUUCUUGGUGUAGCGGUGAAAUGCGUAGAUAUCAAGAGGAACACCUGCAGCGAAGGCGGGUUGCUGGGCCGACACUGACGCUGAGGCGCGAAAGCCAGGGGAGCAAACGGG
rnacentral:rRNA from 1 species